UACGUAGGGUGCGAGCGUUAAUCGGAAUUACUGGGCGUAAAGCGUGCGCAGGCGGUGAUGUAAGACCGAUGUGAAAUCCCCGGGCUUAACUUGGGAACUGCAUUGGUGACUGCAUUGCUGGAGUAUGGCAGAGGGGGGUGGAAUUCCACGUGUAGCAGUGAAAUGCGUAGAGAUGUGGAGGAACACCGAUGGCGAAGGCAGCCCCCUGGGCCAAUACUGACGCUCAUGCACGAAAGCGUGGGGAGCAAACAGG
rnacentral:rRNA from 1 species